UAAAUUUUAAAGCCAAGGGUAUUGGGUAGGU
rnacentral:piRNA from 1 species